rnacentral:rRNA from 1 species
AUCUGCGAUAAGCGCCGGUAAGGUGAUAUGAACCGUUAUAACCGGCGAUACCCGAAUGGGGAAACCCAGUGUGACUCGUCACACUAUCAUUAACUGAAUCCAUAGGUUAAUGAGGCGAACCGGGGGAACUGAAACAUCUAAGUACCCCGAGGAAAAGAAAUCAACCGAGAUUCCCCCAGUAGCGGCGAGCGAACGGGGAGGAGCCCAGAGCCUGAAUCAGCAUGUGUGUUAGUGGAAGCGUCUGGAAAGGCGCGCGAUACAGGGUGACAGCCCCGUACACAAAAGCGCAUGUGCUGUGAGCUCGAUGAGUAGGGCGGGACACGUGGUAUCCUGUCUGAAUAUGGGGGGACCAUCCUCCAAGGCUAAAUACUCCUGACUGACCGAUAGUGAACCAGUACCGUGAGGGAAAGGCGAAAAGAACCCCGGCGAGGGGAGUGAAAAAGAACCUGAAACCGUGUACGUACAAGCAGUGGGAGCACCCUUUGGGUGUGACUGCGUACCUUUUGUAUAAUGGGUCAGCGACUUAUAUUCUGUAGCAAGGUUAACCGAAUAGGGGAGCCGGAGGGAAACCGAGUCUUAAUUGGGCGUUAAGUUGCAGGGUAUAGACCCGAAACCCGGUGAUCUAGCCAUGGGCAGGUUGAAGGUUGGGUAACACUAACUGGAGGACCGAACCGACUAAUGUUGAAAAAUUAGCGGAUGACCUGUGGCUGGGGGUGAAAGGCCAAUCAAACCGGGAGAUAGCUGGUUCUCCCCGAAAGCUAUUUAGGUAGCGCCUCGUGAAUUCAUCUCCGGGGGUAGAGCACUGUUUCGGCUAGGGGGCCAUCCCGGCUUACCAACCCGAUGCAAACUGCGAAUACCGGAGAAUGUUAUCACGGGAGACACACGGCGGGUGCUAACGUCCGUCGUGAAGAGGGAAACAACCCAGACCGCCAGCUAAGGUCCCAAAGUCAUGGUUAAGUGGGAAACGAUGUGGGAAGGCCCAGACAGCCAGGAUGUUGGCUUAGAAGCAGCCAUCAUUUAAAGAAAGCGUAAUAGCUCACUGGUCGAGUCGGCCUGCGCGGAAGAUGUAACGGGGCUAAACCAUGCACCGAAGCUGCGGCAGCGACACUGUGUGUUGUUGGGUAGGGGAGCGUUCUGUAAGCCUGCGAAGGUGG